AAAGGAUCGGACUUUAUUCUUUCUUUAUGAGUGUUAUCUUCUCUUCUUCCUCAAUUCUCAAUUAAUGGCUGGAGAAGCUUGGAAGAUCUAUUCAAAACAAAUUUGCUCCUUCUCAAUAAAAUCAGAUUAAAAGGUCUAAAACCCCAAAAUUUCAUUCCUCAACCCUGGAGAGAUGAUUUUCCAAAGCUUAAGGUGAAAUUCCUUCGUUGAGAUAAAAGUUAAAAGAGAAGAUUGGGCAAGUCAUUCAAGUCAUCAAGAGGCCAAAUGUGAAGGAAAUGAGUCAUCCACUUCGCAUCCGCUUCACAUCUGCUUUGGAGAUGCUAGCAAUUUGCUCUCUGUCUGCUCUUCAUCCGCUUUAGAUCCGCUCAAGCAGAUCAAAAUAAGGUGGCAAUUUUGUAAUUUCCAUCAAAUGUAGAGUGGAGUUUAAAAGGAGGGUUUAGCUCCUUUUUCAAGACCUAGUUUUCAUCUUUUGAAGAUAGCCUCCCUUUUAGCUCUUAGCUUCUCUCUUCUCUUUUAGCACUUAUCUUUUUAUCUUUUGAGAAUUUUGUACUAAGCUUGAAUGAAAAAUACGUGGUAGUGAUUUUUCUUUGAAGAAUUAUUGAAACCUCAAGUGUGGAAUUACAUUGUCUCUAUCUCUCAUGGAUGAGGUUAAUGAUAACUUUGGUAUAUUCUUAUCC